rnacentral:rRNA from 1 species
UACGAAGGGUGCAAGCGUUACUCGGAAUUACUGGGCGUAAAGCGUGCGUAGGCGGUUUGUUAAGUCCGUUGUGAAAGCCCUGGGCUCAACCUGGGAAUUGCAGUGGAUACUGGCAAGCUAGAGUACGGUAGAGGAUGGUGGAAUUCCCGGUGUAGCGGUGAAAUGCGUAGAGAUCGGGAGGAACACCCGUGGCGAAGGCGGCCAUCUGGACCAGUACUGACGCUGAGGCGCGAAAGCGUGGGUAGCAAACAGGG